rnacentral:rRNA from 1 species
AUUGAACGCUGGCGGCAUGCUUUACACAUGCAAGUCGAACGGCAGCGCGGGCUUCGGCCUGGCGGCGAGUGGCGAACGGGUGAGUAAUGCAUCGGAACGUGCCCAGUAGUGGGGGAUAGCCCGGCGAAAGCCGGAUUAAUACCGCAUACGACCUGAGGGUGAAAGCGGGGGACCGAAAGGCCUCGCGCUAUUGGAGCGGCCGAUGUCGGAUUAGCUAGUUGGUGGGGUAAAGGCUUACCAAGGCGACGAUCCGUAGCUGGUCUGAGAAGACGACCAGCCACACUGGGACUGAGACUCGGCCCAGACUCCUACGGGAGGCAGCAGUGGGGAAUUUUGGACAAUGGGGGCAACCCUGAUCCAGCCAUGCCGCGUGCGGGAAGAAGGCCUUCGGGUUGUAAACCGCUUUUGUUCGGGAAGAAAUCCUCUGGGCUAAUACCCCGGGGGGAUGACGGUACCGGAAGAAUAAGCACCGGCUAACUACGUG